rnacentral:rRNA from 1 species
GAUGAACGCUGGCGGCGUGCCUAAUACAUGCAAGUCGAGCGAACAGACGAGGAGCUUGCUCCUCUGACGUUAGCGGCGGACGGGUGAGUAACACGUGGAUAACCUACCUAUAAGACUGGGAUAACUUCGGGAAACCGGAGCUAAUACCGGAUAAUAUAUUGAACCGCAUGGUUCAAUAGUGAGAGACGGUUUUGCUGUCACUUAUAGAUGGAUCCGCGCCGCAUUAGCUAGUUGGUAAGGUAACGGCUUACCAAGGCAACGAUGCGUAGCCGACCUGAGAGGGUGAUCGGCCACACUGGAACUGCGACACGGACCAGACUCCUACGGGAGGCAGCAGUAGGGAAUCUUCCGCAAUGGGCGAAAGCCUGACGGAGCAACGCCGCGUGAGUGAUGAAGGCCUUCGGAUCGUAAAACUCUGUUACUAGGGAAGACCAAAUGUGUAAGUAACUAUGCACGUCUUGACGGUACCUAAUCAGAAAGCCACGGCUAACUACGUG